UAAGAUGCCCGUUAUAAUACA
rnacentral:piRNA from 1 species